UAGUCCGGUUUUGGAUACGUG
rnacentral:miRNA from 1 species